rnacentral:rRNA from 1 species
GUGAGGAAUAUUGGGCAAUGCCCGCAAGGGUGACCCAGCAACGCCGCGUGGAGGAUGAAUGUCGUAAGAUUGUAAACUCCUGUUAGAGGGGAAGAAUAGUACCGGUUGGACCGGUAUAUGACUGUACCCUCAGAGAAAGCCCCGGCUAACUACGUGCCAGCAGCCGCGGUAAUACGUAGGGGGCAAGCGUUGUCCGGAUUUACUGGGUGUAAAGGGCGCGCAGGCGGGAUAAAAAGUCAGUGGUGAAAUCCUACAGCUUAAUUGUAGAACUGCCUUUGAUACUUUUAUUCUUGAGUUCGGGAGAGAGAGACGGAAUUCCAGGUGUAGUGGUGAAAUACGUAGAUAUCUGGAAGAACACCAGUUGCGAAGGCGGUCUCUUGGUCCGACACUGACGCUGAGGCGCGAAAGCGUG